GCAACUAUAAAUACACACAGUUAUGUGUUUAUAUCUAUGCUAAUUGUGUGAAAUUGCUAGAGCUGUUCAACAGAUUUUCACUCUGAAAAACUGAGGAGAUCAGGAGCUCCUGCAUAUGCAGUUGCAUGUGCAGAUGGGUUGAUAGAGAUGUCGGUGAUUGCGCUGCGCUGAAACAUCCCCUUCACAUAGUCUGCAGUAUGUUAAGGAGCAAGCCAACACUGACAUGGCCAGGAACAGGAAGGUUCAGCAUGAGCUUGAGGAAGCUCAGGAGCGCGCUGACAUCGCAGAGUUGCAGGUCAACAAGCUGAGAGCAAAGAGCCGUGAAAUUGUCAGGGUCAAGGAGACAUGAAUGAACCGCAGUCUGGAUGAAAUCACACAAUAUGAGCUUUUUUGUCUGAUGUACCAACUACGUGACAAGAAAUGAACACACAAGCAGUUGAA